rnacentral:rRNA from 1 species
GACGAACGCUGGCGGCGUGCUUAACACAUGCAAGUCGAACGGAAAGGCCCUGCCUUUGUGGGGUGCUCGAGUGGCGAACGGGUGAGUAACACGUGAGUAACCUGCCAUUGACUUUGGGAUAACUUCAGGAAACUGGGGCUAAUACCGGAUAGGAGCUCCUGCUGCAUGGUGGGGGUUGGAAAGUUUCGGCGGUUGGGGAUGGACUCGCGGCUUAUCAGCUUGUUGGUGGGGUAGUGGCUUACCAAGGCUUUGACGGGUAGCCGGCCUGAGAGGGUGACCGGCCACAUUGGGACUGAGAUACGGCCCAGACUCCUACGGGAGGCAGCAGUGGGGAAUAUUGCACAAUGGGCGGAAGCCUGAUGCAGCAACGCCGCGUGCGGGAUGACGGCCUUCGGGUUGUAAACCGCUUUCGCCUGUGACGAGGCGUGAGUGACGGUAAUGGGUAAAGAAGCACCGGCUAACUACGUG